ACCUGAACUGAAUUGGAGGUCAGGAGGUCCAUUCAUUCAGGCCAUUGGGUCUGGGGAUGUAGGUCAGGGGAUCUCAAGUAGAUGGAUCUGAAGGUGACUCAAGGUUCAACAGGUCUCUCAGGUCAGUAGGGCCUUUAGCCUGUCCUAGGGACCUCCAGGCCUCAAAACACUGGUCUUUUCCAUUGGUUAAAAGUAGAGGAACCCAGACUUGGGUUCUGCUCUUACUCUAGGACUCCCUGUUAGAGGAAACCCAGAAAGUCAUGUACACACAUUCACCCAUAUAGAGGCUCUAUCUGGCUUUAGGAAAGAAGUUGUUUAGAACCAAAGAUAUCACCUAGAACCAGAAUGGUCAACUUGGAGUGAUUCUUGGAAGAGGCCCAUUUGGAAGUAGGCCUUGAAGUUGGGGGGACACCUGUAGCAACCAGGAAGGUCCUUCCCCAUUGUCCCCACCCCUUUCAACCUCCUGGUUUCUCUCCUUUCCUUCCUCCUUCCUCUGCCUCCCCCCAACACAUAUCAUCAUCUGAGUGUUUGGACUUACUUCCUAGAAGUAGCCCCAGUCAUUUCUGCCACUCCUGCACCCCUGGUAGGUCCCAGAAAUCAGCAGAACAUUUUAAUCCACAAGCCACUGAACCGAAGGACCUGCAGAGCCAUGGAGAGUCAUCAGGACUUUCAGAACCUUAAAGCAAAGUUCCAGGGCCCACAGCCUGGGUUUAGUGAACUACUCAAGAAGCCACCGCUGCCCAAGGGCUCUCAGCUGCCAGGCCCAGGUCGAGCCCAUCCUGUUCCUGCGAGCUCCCCCACUGUUAGGGCUCCUGAUACUUACCAAAGGAAACCUCCGUGGCAAAGACAAGGAGAAGAAGCCCCGCCUAGCCCUUGGCCCCCUAACCUAGGGAGAGGCUCUCAAGCCAGCCCCAGGACCAGGGAGGUUCCCAGAGACCAGCAACCACCAUGGAGAAUUGCAGGGAAUGCUGGAGAGAAGCCAUCCUCAUCUCAAACCUCUACCUCCUUGGGUUCCCCAAGGACUCCUAGAAAAGAGCAGGGCCAGGGUGUCCCCCGCAGGAGACCGCUGCCACCUCUGAAGACUCUUGGUCCUCAGCCUCCCAAGCCCCCUCUUCCACCUGGUACCCUGAACUUAGAACAAUUCAAGAGGACAAAAACUACCCACACAAGGACUGCAGGUGGGUGUUUGAACCAUGUCAAGAAAAUUCUGGGAAAGGUACCAGGGGAGGGUGACACUCGGCUCCAAUAUGACUUGGAUCUAGCCGUUCUGUUCGUCUGA
rnacentral:lncRNA from 1 species